AGCAGUAGCCGCGGUAAUACAGAGGGUGCGAGCGUUAAUCGGAUUUACUGGGCGUAAAGCGUGCGUAGGCGGCUUCUUAAGUCGGAUGUGAAAUCCCUGAGCUUAACUUAGGAAUUGCAUUCGAUACUGGGAAGCUAGAGUAUGGGAGAGGAUGGUAGAAUUCCAGGUGUAGCGGUGAAAUGCGUAGAGAUCUGGAGGAAUACCGAUGGCGAAGGCAGCCAUCUGGCCUAAUACUGACGCUGAGGUACGAAAGCAUUGGGAGCAAACAGGAUUAGAUACCCCCGUAGUCCCUGUCUCUUAUAC
rnacentral:rRNA from 1 species